AUUCUGCCCAAGCGGGGAAGGAUGAGAAGCUUCGACCAAGGUUCGACUUGAGCGCCAGCGAUAGAGCGUUGCCGCAGGCAACGACCCGAAGGGCGAAGCGCGCAGCGCUGAGUAAUCCUUCCCCCACCACCA
rnacentral:sRNA from 1 species